CCUACGGGAUGCAGCAGUGAGGAAUAUUUGUCAAUGGACGAGCGUCUGAACCAGCCAAGUAGCGUGAAGGAUGACUGCCCUAUGGGUUGUAAACUUCUUUUAUAUGGGAAUAAAACGUUCCACGUGUGGGAUUUUGUAUGUACCAUAUGAAUAAGGAUCGGCUAACUCCGUGCCAGCAGCCGCGGUAAUACGGAGGAUCCGAGCGUUAUCCGGAUUUAUUGGGUUUAAAGGGAGCGUAGGUGGAUUGUUAAGUCAAUUGUGAAAGUUUGCGGCUCAACCGUAAAAUUGCAGUUGAAACUGGCAGUCUUGAGUACAGUAGAGGUGGGCGGAAUUCGUGGUGUAGCGGUGAAAUGCUUAGAUAUCACGAAGAACUCCGAUUGCGAAGGCAGUUCACUGGACUGCAACUGACACUGAGGCUCGAAAGUGUGGGUAUCAAACAGGAUUAGAUACCCCUGUAGUC
rnacentral:rRNA from 1 species